rnacentral:piRNA from 1 species
UGGACCUUGAGGACAGUCGUCCAGGAC